rnacentral:rRNA from 1 species
UACAUGCAAGUACGAGCGGAAGUGAUGAAGAAGACUUGCUUCUUCUGAGUUUUAUCGGCGGACGGGUAGGAGGUAACACGUGGGCAACCUACCUUGUAGAUUGGGAUAACUCCGGGAAACCGGGGCUAAUACCGAAUAAUCCAUUUUGCUUCAUGGCGAGAUGUUGAAAGACGGUUUCGGCUGUCACUACAAGAUGGGCCCGCGGCGCAUUAGCUAGUUGGUAGGGUAAUGGCCUACCAAGGCGACGAUGCGUAGCCGACCUGAGAGGGUGAUCGGCCACACUGGGACUGAGACACGGCCCAGACUCCUACGGGAGGCAGCAGUAGGGAAUCUUCCACAAUGGACGAAAGUCUGAUGGAGCAACGCCGCGUGAGUGAAGAAGGUUUUCGGAUCGUAAAACUCUGUUGUAAGGGAAGAACACGUACGAGAGUAACUGCUCGUACCUUGACGGUACCUUAUUAGAAAGCCACGGCUAACUACGUG